CGGAGCACGCCGCGUGAACGAUGAAGGCCUUCGGGUCGUAAAGUUCUGUUGUCAGGGAAGAACAAGUACCGGAGUAACUGCCGGUACCUUGACGGUACCUGACCAGAAAGCCACGGCUAACUACGUGCCAGCAGCCGCGGUAAUACGUAGGUGGCAAGCGUUGUCCGGAAUUAUUGGGCGUAAAGCGCGCGCAGGCGGUUCCUUAAGUCUGAUGUGAAAGCCCCCGGCUCAACCGGGGAGGGUCAUUGGAAACUGGGGAACUUGAGUGCAGAAGAGGAGAGCGGAAUUCCACGUGUAGCGGUGAAAUGCGUAGAGAUGUGGAGGAACACCAGUGGCGAAGGCGGCUCUCUGGUCUGUAACUGACGCUGAGGCGCGAAAGCGUGGGGAGCGAACAGGAUUAGAUACCCUGGUAGUCCACGCCGUAAACGAUGAGUGCUAAGUGUUAGAGGGUUUCCGCCCUUUAGUGCUGCAGCAAACGCAUUAAGCACUCCGCCUGGGGAGUACGGCCGCAAGGCUGAAA
rnacentral:rRNA from 2 species